CAACUACUCCCUCUAUCCCAAAUUUCUUGUCUUAGAUUUGUCUAGAUACAGAUGUAUCUAAUACUAAAAUGUGACUUGAUACAUCCGUAUCUAGACAAAUCUAAGACAAGAAUUUUGGGACG
rnacentral:pre_miRNA from 1 species